GCCAAAAUAUGCAAACAAGAGGCAAAAGAGACAGACUGAAAGGCCCUCGUGCUGUACAUGGACAGAUUGCAAUUUUUGUAUAGACCAGAAAUACCCAGGCUGAGACUUGAAGAAAAUCAAAUCGAGCACUGCAGUUUUAGCAGCUUGAUUCAUAGUACCAUUUAUUCAACAGAAUGAUCAGGUAAGCCUAGAUGUUGAUUUGGGCAUAUAAAACCUUCUGUGCGUGUUAAUAUUAAAUUUAAGUAGAAGCUAAUUUUUAUUACUUCAAGCUGCA
rnacentral:lncRNA from 1 species